GCGUUCCCUACUGGAGAGAGGCCGUUUUCAAAGCGGCCCACCGAAGGAGCAAACCUGCAUCGCCAGGCGAAUCUCUCAGGUAAAGAGGACAGCAGGGGCAGC
rnacentral:ncRNA from 2 species